rnacentral:rRNA from 1 species
UAAAAGAAAAAAAAGCAUUAAGGGGAUGCCUAGGUGUUAAAUUAAGAUAUGAACGUUUAGUAAGACGAAACGUCAGAAGUAAAUAAAGGAAAAUUUUUGAUCUCUGACAAUUCAUCCACAGAAAACUGUUACUCCAUGUGUUUCUAACGAAAAAAAGCAAAGGGAACUGAAACAUCUAAGUACCUUUUGAAAAAGAAAUCAACCGAGAGACCGUAAAUAGUGGCGAGCGAAAGCGGUUUAGGCUUAAAAUAUGAUCGUCUUUUUUUGAAUACCAAUGCCGUAGAGGGUAAUAGCCCCGUAAAAAGAAGAUAUCUAUGUUUUUUUAGUAUCACAUUAUCAAGCAAUCUUGUGUGAAAAAUGGGGUACCAUCCUCAAAGCCUAAGAAAAAUUUAACAACCGAUAGUGAACAAGUACCGUGAGGGAAAGGUGAAAAAGGAGGAUACUCCCAGUGAAAAGAACCUGAAACUUAAUGCUAUAAUCUGUUGGAGCUUUAAUAGUGACAGCGUGCCUUUUGCAUAAUGAGUCAGCGACUUUGUAUGGAUGGCGAGCUUAAACCGCUAGGUGUAGGCGUAGUGAAAUCGAAAAAUAAAAAACUAGUCAUUUGUGCAAAACCCGAAACUGAGUGAUCUAACUAUGAACAGGCUGAAGUUUUGAUGGCAACAUCUUUCUAAGGGCCGAACCCGUGUAUGUGGCAAAAUACUGGGAUGAUUUGUGGUUAGGGGUGAAAGGCCAAUCAAACUCAGAGAUAGCUGGUUUUCUGCGAAAUCUAUUUAAGUAGAGUGUUUAUUAUGAUACCUGAGGUAGAGCUCUCUUUUAGUGCGGGGUUGUUUAUCUUCUACCAAAUUUUUGGAAACUUCGAAUUCGGGCUUAUUUAAUUUAAACAAACAGACUAGAGGUGCUAAGAUCUUUAGUCGAGAGGGAAACAGCCCAGAUUGAUCGUUAAGGACCUUAAAAAUACAGAAGUUAAAGGAAGUUAAAAACUUUUAACAGCCAGGAGGUAGGCUUAGAAGCAGCCACCCUAUGAUGAAAGCGUAGCAGCUCACUGGUCUAGGUUUUUUGCACCGAAAAUUUAAUGGGAUUAAAAGUAUUUUCCGAAGCGGCAAAAUCCAAUUUUUUGGAUUGGUAGCAGAAUGUUCUGUAAAUUUUUAAAGCUAAGCUGUCAGGUUUAGUGGAGAUAUCAGAAGUAAGAAUGCUGACAUAAGUAACGAUAAAGAGUGUUUAAAACACUCUCGCUGUAAACCCAAGGUUUUCGAUGUCAAGUUAAGCUGCGUCGAAGAGAAAUUCAAAAAUAAAAACGGCCCCUAAGAAUAUAGUGAAAACUCAUUUUGAUGGGAAACAAUAUACUGUUUUGAAAGUUGUGACAAAAGGUUUGAAGUUUGUGUUAAAAAUAUCAUUUUAAUGCGAAUUAACCUUUUCAAGAAAUAGCACUUUCUUUAUUACCGUACCGUAAACUGACACAAGUGGGUGGGUUGAGAAAACUAAAGCGCUUGAGAGAACUGUGUAAAAGGAACUCGGCAAAAUGGCUCCGUAACUUAGGAAGAAGGAGUGACUUUUAAUUCAAUGUUUGCACUAUGCAAUGAAUGUUUUAAAGGUUGUCACAAAAUUGGAAGAAGCAACUGUUUAACAAAAACACAGGUCUCUGCUAAUUCGCAAGAAGAUGUAUAGGGGCUGACGCGUGCCCGGUGCUGCAAGGUUAAGGGGAGGUGUUUUGGCGCUGAACUUAAGCCCCAGUAAACGGCGGCCGUAACUCUGACGGUCCAAAGGUAGCGAAAUUCUUUGCCACCUAAUUAGUGGCCUGCAUGAAUCGCGUAAUGACUUCUUUACUGUCUCUUACACAGACUCAGUGAAAUUGAAAUAUCCGUGAAGAUGCGGAUUACUCA